UACAGGGGGUGCAAACGUUGCUCGGAAUUAUUGGGCGUAAAGAGCGCGUAGGCGGUCCGAUAAGUCGGCUGUGAAAGUCAAAGGCUCAACCUUUGAAAGCCGAUGGAUACUGUGAGGCUAGAGUCCGGAAGAGGCGAGUGGAAUUCCUGGUGUAGCGGUGGAAUGCGCAGAUAUCAGGAGGAACACCAAUAGCGAAGGCAGCUCGCUGGGACGGUACUGACGCUAAGGCGCGAAAGCGUGGGGAGCAAACAGG
rnacentral:rRNA from 1 species